UACGGGGGGAGCAAGCGUUGUUCGGAUUUACUGGGCGUAAAGGGCGCGUAGGCGGCCAGCGCAAGUCAGUUGUGAAAUCUCCGGGCUUAACUCGGAACGGUCAACUGAUACUGCGCGGCUAGAGUGCAGAAGGGGCAACUGGAAUUCUCGGUGUAGCGGUGAAAUGCGCAGAUAUCGGAGGAGACACCAAUGGCGAAGGCAGCUGCGCUGGGACGGUACUGACGCUGAGGCGCGAAAGCGUGGGGAGCAAACAGG
rnacentral:rRNA from 1 species